rnacentral:rRNA from 1 species
CCUACGGGGAGCAGCAGUGGGGAAUAUUGCACAAUGGGGGAAACUCUGAUGCAGCGACGCCGCGUGAGCGAUGAAGUCUUUCGGUAUGUAAAGCUCUAUUAGCAGGGAAGAAAAUGACGGUACCUGACUAAGAAGCCCUGGCUAACUACGUGCCAGCAGCCGCGGUAAUACGUAGGGGGCGAGCGUUAACCGGAUUAACGGGGUGUAAAGGGAGCGUAGAUGGCUUGGCAAGCCAGAUGUGAAAGGCUGUGGCUCAACCCCAGGACUGCAUUUGAAACUGUAAUGCUAGAGUGUAGGAGAGGAUGGCGGAAUUCCUGGUGUAGCGGUGAAAUGCGUAGAUAUUAGGAGGAACACCGGUGGCGAAGGCGACCUGCUGGACGAUAACUGACGUUGAGGCUCGAAAGCGUGGGGAGCAAACAGGAUUAGAUACCCUAGUAGUC